CCUAUACGUCGUUUCCUCUGGCCAAUAGACACAUGGAUAUUGUUUGUUACUUUUAGAAAUAUGUACAUGCAGUGGAUGCCAGACUACAGCUGAACAAAGCCGGUGCCUUGUGCCGGAGAUGGAGCACAAUGUUUGCCUUGUCCCCUGACAUUCCAGAGGCCACCCACAUCCACGCAGUCAGACUUCUUGGAAAACUGCUCUGGUCAUGGCCCAGUGCUCAGAAUCUACAUGAGCAAUUUACCUCCACAGAAGAAAAGAACUUGGAAGUCACUUUCCGGAGGACAGGGUACACGAAGCUUAGAACAAUGAAUGAUCAGCAAUCCUUGAUGGUGUCCAUUUUAGAAACGGAAUGAAAACGAGAGCCAUUAUUGAGGAGUUAGAAGGUAGAACAAACUGUCUUCCGUUGAAGUCAUCAUUGUCUUGUAACGCUGGUCCUCAGAAGUGAGAGACCGGAUAAAAUACAACAAUAAUUAUUACAAGUAAUAAGGGGAACUAUGUCCAAGAAAUGACAGUUUCAGACGGACGAGUCCAUUUGAACAAUCAAUAACACUUCAAUGCUCCUCUUAGAUGAUAUUUUGUGGUUAUAGUUUAUGGUUAGCAUUCUCUUCACAUCAAAGGACUCGCUUUAUUGGUUCUCUGGAGAUGUACAGGAGUUGGAAGAAAAGAACUAAAGUGCUUAUGCAUUGACAUCGACUGAGAGGACUGUGAAAAGUCACCUUCUGUGCCUACUCCACCUUUCACAAACACAUCCUUUAAUAGAGUACAUUUGAAAACAAGUUGCAAUCUUACUGCUGCAAAAUAUCUAAUGAAUCACCAAGUUAUUUUGUUAGAAUUGCUUCAGAUGACUAAAAUAUCAAUUUGCUUCUGAUUGGAAUCCAGACAACUUGGUAUCAAAACAAUAAUUAAGUUUCUUCCCCACCGCCUUCCCAUUUCUCUUUUUGAGACAGGCUCUCACUCUGUAACCCAGGCUAGCCUUGAACUCAAACCAAUCCUCCUGCCUCAGCCUCGUGGGUGUUAUUUUUUUUUUCAUUUAUGGGUAUGAAUGUUUUGCCUGUGCCCCAUGUGUGUAGAAUAUUCGUGGAGGCCAGCAAAGGACAUCUGCAACUAGAGUUAUAGGCAGUUGCGCGCCACCAUGUGAAUGAUAGCAACCAAUCCCCAGUGCUCUUAACCAUGACGCCACCUCUGCAGCCCCAGUCUUGGUUAUUUUAAAGAAUGUGUUAUUUAUAAGCACUUAGAAAUAUGUAUAAUGUAUUGUUUAUGGGUUAGGUGUGAAUAGCUUUCAUGUCAUGAGCAGAGAAUAUGAAUAGUCUGUGCCAGGCAUAGAAAUAUAUGUCUGUUAUUUCAGGACUCAAG
rnacentral:lncRNA from 1 species